rnacentral:RNase_P_RNA from 1 species
UCAGGGGGCCUGAGGCAGCCGCGUGACCUUCGGGUCGCGAGGAAAGUCCGGGCUCCACGAAACGAGGGUGGCGGGUAACGCCCGCCGGUCCCGCCUUCGGGCGGGGCAAGGGAAAGUGCCACAGAGAGCAGACCGCCGAUGGCCCGCCAUCCUUCGGGAGCGCGGGCACAGGCAAGGGUGAAAGGGUGCGGCAAGAGCGCACCGGGGGGCCGGCAACGGCAACCGCAUGGCAAACCCCACCCGGAGCAAGGCCGAAUAGGGGUCUCGCGCCUUCCGCAAGGAGGCAGGCGUGUUUCGCGCCGAGAGACCCGGGUUGGCUGCUAGAGCCGUCGAGCGAUCGUCGGCCCAGAUGAAUGGCUGCCGCCGCGGGGCCGGUCCGUCAGGAUACCGCCCGCGGAGACAGAACCCGGCUUAUGACGGCCUCCUGACGUU